UCUCCGCCCGCAUACUCCCUCCCCUCCGCCCACUUCUGGUGGCCGCCACACCUCCCACUCCGUAUUUGCCUCCAUCUCCCCUCGUCUCCUCCAUCAGCCCUCCUCAGAUCCAGCUUCUGCCGCUCACGUUCAGCACACACCCCCACCCUCCCCUCCAGCGCGGCGCCAGGAUGGGAUGGCGACGACCGAGAUGCGGGGCGGGGCGGGGCGGCGGUGGUGAAACCGGUUCUCGCGGCGUGGCCUGACGGGGCCGGCGCGGCGGGCGGAGGCUACCGCCGCCGCAAUCCCAGGAGGCGGGCACGUCGACCGCGCGGCACGGGAUUAGGUCGACGCCGGCGACGAGCGCCUCGUGUUGCUCCCAGGCCUCCCAUCAUGAAUGCGAGCAGAUAGGCAUAGCCAUCUUCCUCAGCUCAGAUCCGUGUUCUAACGUGGUGAACCGGUGUCUCUACUGCAACCCGACGACGAGCGGCGGCCGUAGUGCUCGGCGAGGCGUAGAAGGUCCGGUGCUGCUGCCUGUCAUGGUGUUCGCCGAUGAGUGGCUUCAGCAACAUCCAUCCCCCGUCCAACAUUGUUUGCAUUAGCAGGUGUAACCUCGCGGAUCCAACUUGACUGGAUCCGUGGCCACCGGAUCCAUCGCUGUCGCUGGGAUGUGGAGAGGCAACUGGUGUUCUUUUUCCUUUCUCGAUUCAAUUUCUGCUAGCGAUUCAUGCAUGUGCACCUUCCCUUUUGAUGUUAUUGCGCCUGAUGCUUCUGAUUUGACAGGUGGGCAGGUAACUCGCAAAUCUCAGCAUCAAGGGCGGAACCGUGCCUGGCCCUCGAGCCCUCCACUUCCGCCUUGAUGGUUGAAGGUUGCGAUUAGACUUGGAGGUGCACCUCACGAGCUUUAUCUGCAGGACGCCAUCCAUGCCGAGACGUCUUCUACUGUUAUGUGAUCCUUGGUUUCAGUCUCUUAAUGCUGAUGACUCCUGAAUUGAAUGAUCAACAAAGGUGGCAUCUGAGGCAAUAGAUAUAGGAAGAUCUACCUUUUAUCUAGAUUCUAGUUUAUCAAUCACCUUUGGGUCAAGAUACAGGACAAGCAAGCAAUGUUUUUCAGGUCUUGGAUUUAUUGGAAGAUUCCAGCUGAAUACUUCUUAAUCUUUUUUUGGGUGGACCAAGAGAGACGAACAAGAAGCAAGCUGAGCUCAAUGCAAAACUUGAUGCUGGAUUAAAACUUGAUCUGUUGUUUGAUGUGUGAUGUGAUGUGAUGCCGGAAAACUUGAGGUGUAUGAUGUAACAACAUUCUAAUUUUGAAACUGAUUCUGUGGGCUAUUUUUUUAUAUGGCUCGUGUAUAAAGCUUAAUCUUGUUUCUUGGUAA